rnacentral:lncRNA from 1 species
AAAAAAGAGAAAAAUCCCAAAUUUACAGUAUAGUUUGACACGAAAAAAACAACACUUAACAUAAUAUAAAAUUUUCUUAUAUUAACACCUACCAAUAGUUUUAGAAAAUUUUGGCUCCUCAGAGGUGUAAAUCCUUAAAAAUAAAGCUACAAAAAAUAUAUAAGUAUCAUAGCUUACACAUGAAAUUUAUUAACCAUAUACACAUGUAUGCAAUUGCGAUCUAUAUCUGAAUUAUGUCGUUGCAACCAAUAUUUGAACAAUGUUGUUGCGACCAAUAUUUGAACAAUGUUGUUGCGACCAAUAUUUGAACAAUGGUGUUGCGACCAAUAUCUGAACAAUCUUGUUGCUACCAAUAUCUGAACAACAAUCCAUGUUCUAUUCCUACUUGAUAAAACCAAUGUGUGUAAAUAUGUUUUUUGAGAGUUGUAAAUGUUUCAGUACGGUUUUCUGUGGCAGUUGAAGUAGACAACUUGGUCUAGCGAUGUUCUUAA